rnacentral:rRNA from 1 species
AUUGAACGCUGGCGGCAGGCCUAACACAUGCAAGUCGAACGGUAACAGGAAGCAGCUUGCUGCUUCGCUGACGAGUGGCGGACGGGUGAGUAAUGUCUGGGAAACUGCCUGAUGGAGGGGGAUAACUACUGGAAACGGUAGCUAAUACCGCAUAACGUCGCAAGACCAAAGAGGGGGACCUUAGGGCCUCUUGCCAUCGGAUGUGCCCAGAUGGGAUUAGCUAGUAGGUGGGGUAACGGCUCACCUAGGCGACGAUCCCUAGCUGGUCUGAGAGGAUGACCAGCCACACUGGAACUGAGACACGGUCCAGACUCCUACGGGAGGCAGCAGUGGGGAAUAUCGCACAAUGGGCGCAAGCCUGAUGCAGCCAUGCCGCGUGUAUGAAGAAGGCCUUCGGGUUGUAAAGUACUUUCAGCGGGGAGGAAGGGAGUAAAGUUAAUACCUUUGCUCAUUGACGUUACCCGCAGAAGAAGCACCGGCUAACUCCGU